GACAGAGGGUGCAAACGUUGUUCGGAAUUACUGGGCGUAAAGCGCGUGUAGGCGGCCCUGCAAGUCGGAUGUGAAAUCCCACGGCUCAACCGUGGAAGUGCACUCGAAACUGCAUAGCUAGAGUCCUGGAGAGGAAGGUGGAAUGCUUGGUGUAGAGGUGAAAUUCGUAGAUAUCAAGCGGAACACCGGUGGCGAAGGCGGCCUUCUGGACAGUGACUGACGCUGAGACGCGAAAGCGUGGGGAGCAACAG
rnacentral:rRNA from 1 species